rnacentral:lncRNA from 1 species
UUGCAUUCGAGGAAAACUUGAAGGAUGUCUCUUGGUUGUUGGAGAAAUUCGGAUCGUUUUGGAUACAUUCAAGCUUUGUUGUUCCUUUGGAGAUGUCAAUAUUCUUCUGGUAGUUAAUUUCCAAUUUAUAUGUGUAUAAUUUGGUACAACUUAGGUAAACUUUGUUAAUUAUAUUUUUUGUGUAGCUUUUGGCAUUUUAGGCAAUUCCAGUCUUGAAUCAAGACUCUUGAUGAACCAUUACUGUGAAAAUGUGGAUAGUGCAAAGGCUAAUAGCCCGUAGAUGAGCAAGAUGAGGUAUAAAACCAAAGGUGGAACCAAGCAUUUCAAUAUCAAAGAAAAAAAUGGGAAACUUAUCACAACCAAGAUUAUAUAUCAUGUACGUGUAAAUUAAUUAUCACUAUGU